CCAUCGCUAACAUUAUUGUCCUUGUUUUUCAACUCUUUCGAGUCCAAAGAAGUUUUGGCACCCUUUAAGGAUGUCCAAGUUUUCCUGUACAAUACAAUGACAACCAGGACUGGCCCUUGGCUAAGCCACCCAAGCCAGUCGCUUAGGUCUCAAAUUUGAAAAGAUCUUAUAUUUUUAUAAUAAUAUAAUUAUAUUAAAAAUAUAUAAAAAUUAAAAUAAUUAAUAAAAUAUUUACUUAUUCUGUUAUACUUAAUAAAUAUUUAUUUUUUUCCACUUUCACAUCGGUAUUAAUUCUAAACUAUUCGUCUCAUUUUCUAUUAAAAAUAUGUAAAAGUAAAAAAAUAAUUAAUCAAUUAACAUAUUCUUUCACUUCUUUAAUUAUAUAUUUAAUAAAUCUUAAAUUUUUAUCACUUUCUAAUUUUUUUUUCAAUUCAUAAUAUCCACCCUUGGAUUUUUUUUCUAUCAUUUGCUAUUUCUUCUUUUAACUUCAUAGUUCCUCCAAAAAAUAUGCAAGAAUUUUAUUAUACUAUUAUCUUCAUGAGCUAUAAAGCUUCAUUUAUGAUUUAUAAUAAGUAUUCAAUAAUUAAGUACUAUUAUUUUAAUUUUUAUAGAUUUUUUUAUUUUUAAUUUAAAAUUUAUAUUAUAUUAUUAUGUUGUCUUCAUUUUAUGUAAUAGUUAAUUUAUCUGAAUUAAAAAAUUUGAUUGUUGAUUUUAUAUUAAUUAUUUUAAAAUAUAAAUAAUUAUAAUAAUUAAAUAUUUUUUAUAUUUUAUAAUAAAUCUUUGAAUAAAUCAAAUUGAAAAUAUAAAUUUGAUUAUUCAAAAUUUUAAAUUUUUUUUCUUAAUUUAAAUAAAAAAAUCACAUUUAAAUAUUUUACUUUAAAUUUUUAAAAUUAUUAAGCCGCCUUGAUGACAACAAAGUGUUCAUAAAAAAAUGACAAAGAACACGAGUAAAAGAGCUUGAGCUUCAUUCUCAAUAUUUCUCAAAUUUAAAAUUACUUUAUUCAACUUAUUAAAAUGGUCUUUCGCAGAUGUAGCUUUUUUUCAUCUGAAACCUACAUGCCCUCUGCUUUAGAUAAAGCCGAUUAGGGAAAGAUUUGGUCCAACAAAUAUCUUCCAGCUUUUUCCAUAAGCCACGGUGAGUCGUUUCAACAACUACCUCCCGAAGAACCUCAUCUGAUAGACACAACUACAUUGCCGACUGCUUACUUUUGCCUUUUAACACAUACAACAGUCCUUCGUGUAUAAAAAUCACUCUCGUUUUUACACGCCAAAGGCUAAAAUCAUUUCUGCCAUCGAAAUUGUUGACAUCAGCCUGCCUUUAUAGUCACUCCCGCCACCAAACUCUUGCUACCACCAGCAUUAUUGAAAGCGAUGACGAACAACAAAACUGUGUGCUUCUAAAAAAGUUUACUCUGAUGUCAAUUUGUUGUGAUUUAAUCCUUAAUACAAACCACUUACUUGUUGUGGAAGACGAUCAAAGUAAUCAACUUACAAAUUGGAUUGACCAACACGAAACAUCAACUAAUAAAAAAACACAAAAUAAGAAAGAAACUGUAAAAAGAGACUACAAAAGUAAUCCCCUUUAACAUAAUCCUACCCGUUUUGCGUUUCUUCUUCCUCCUUCUGGUUCUUCUUCUUCUAGCUUGAAGUCCGAAAUUAGGACUAAAAUCCGAUUCUUCUUCUCCUUUCUCUUCCUCAUCUUUUUCCUCUCCUUCUUCAUGUUGGGUUUUUUUUUUUAAUUAUUUGGGUUGGGGUCUCUUCUUCGAAUCUGGAUUUUUUUUUAUUGGGUUUCUUUUAUCUGGGUUUUCUUCUUCUAGCUUGGAUGCGUAAGAUCAUGGAAUUGUUGGGCAGAUGUUGGAGCUGGAAUGGGAUGCGGGUUGGUCUUUG
rnacentral:lncRNA from 1 species